rnacentral:tRNA from 1 species
CGGGGCGUGGCGCAGCCCGGUAGCGCACCGGCAUGGGGGGCCGGUGGUCGCUGGUUCGAAUCCAGUCGCCCCGACCA